ACAUAUUACAAGACUGUAUUUCCUGAGAUCUUAUGAUAACUUCUAAACACUAAUUAUAAUAACAUACAGAGAAAACCUACAAUUCAAGGUGAAAGGUUCCAUGGAGAUUGUCAAAAUGAAGAUACUUUAUCUCUUGCCUUGGAAUUUAAGUUUAAAUAGCAUCCAUUUCUGGACUUGUCCUGACUGAAGAUAACACAAUAAUUCAGUGUAAUGUAACAAAGUUCAAAUUUGGUCCACUUACAAAAGAACUCUCAUCAGAGUUGUUUUAAGCAUAGAAGCCUUGGAUUCCCACACAACAGAAAGCAAGCACUGGUUCUGCUUAGAUCAUUGAUAUACCAAGAGUCUCCAAAUUUCUCAACCCCAAGGCCUAGAUAAAGUAAAACAAGAACAACCAAUAAUUAGACACUACAAAAAUCAUAACAAACCAAAAUUCUUAUGAAAUUUUUCUUAUUUGGUUCAUCUUUUUCUUAAGAUUCAGAAAAGUCAGGCACCCUUGAAAAUACACUGGGCUCCUCAAAAUGCAAGGUUCCCUGAAGCUUUGCUUCAUGAUACCAACUCACUGGUCAAAACCCAGGUGUAAUUCCAGAUACACUGAUAUUCCCU
rnacentral:lncRNA from 1 species